GUUCUACUGAUUGAAGUCAUCCUGUCUUGUAACUAAUACAUGACACAUCUGUAAGUCAAGCUGGAAUCCUCUAAAAUAAGUCACCAGGAAAAAAAUUCUGAUCUUAUUCUAGACAAAGAAUGAAAAGCCAGGAAGUUACAUAACCCAAAGGUUCCAGUCUGAAGUGUCUUGUUACUGCUGACAAGACACGCAUGACUGACCAUUUGCUCCCUAAGAGAUGAAAACUGACAUUGCUUUGAAAUUCAAACUGACAUUGCCAAAAAAAGAAGAAAUAGAAAAUAACUGCAGCACAUUUAUGACAUUCGUUUCUUUCUCCACGUGAAACACACAAUGAAAACACUUUAUAGAUGAAUUGUGCCUUCGAUUGAAUAGAGAACGGUGGACUAGCUUUGGUUUUAUGGAAUUGGAUAAUUUGUCAUAGUUUCUGCCCCUGGGAAAAUGAUAACCCAAAGGAAAACAAGUGGAAAAACUUUUAAAAAUAGUGAUAAAACACACAGCUGAUAUUUUUGGUUCAUAGAAGACUUUAAAAUACAUAAUUUACAAAGCCAAUUACUAAGUUAUAAAAAAAUGCUAUCAUCAUCAACAAACAUCCACAGAGCUUUCGGUUUCAACACAAA